rnacentral:lncRNA from 1 species
UUUGAUCUUUUCUAUGAAUUUCCUAUUUUCUUGAGUUCACAAGAAGCAAACCAGAAAAAUAUAGGAAGGCAAUUUCUAUGAAUGACAGAUGACAUUAGUAUGAAAUGUCUAGAUUUUCAUAUAUCUGUCUGGUUUUUCCCUUUUAGAGAUGCAAUAAAGUGGGGCUUAAAUGCAUCCUACACAUUGAGAGCCCUGUAUAUAUCAGUACUGCUGAAGCCACACAGGACCUCCUGCAACCCACGGCUUUUCUGUGUUUCCCCAUUGCACUGUGUGCCUGAAGCAGAAAACCUGAGUGUGUGA